rnacentral:rRNA from 1 species
UACGUAGGUGGCAAGCGUUAUCCGGAAUUAUUGGGCGUAAAGCGCGCGCAGGCGGUUUCUUAAGUCUGAUGUGAAAGCCCACGGCUCAACCGUGGAGGGUCAUUGGAAACUGGGGAACUUGAGUGCAGAAGAGGAGAGUGGAAUUCCUGGUGUAGCGGUGAAAUGCGCAGAGAUCGGGAGGAACACCAAUGGCGAAAGCAGGUACCUGGACUAUUACUGACACUAAGCUGCGAAAGCUAGGGGAGCAAACAGG